rnacentral:rRNA from 1 species
UACGUAGGGUGCAAGCGUUGUCCGGAAUUAUUGGGCGUAAAGAGCUCGUAGGCGGUUCGUCGCGUCGGCUGUGAAAACCCGGAGCUCAACUCCGGGCCUGCAGUCGAUACGGGCGGACUUGAGUGUUGCAGGGGAGACUGGAAUUCCUGGUGUAGCGGUGAAAUGCGUAGAGAUCAGGAGGAACACCGGUGGCGAAGGCGGAUCUCUGGGCCAUUACUGACGCUGAGGAGCGAAAGCGUGGGGAGCGAACAGG